rnacentral:rRNA from 1 species
AUGGAUAGGCAAGGCAUUUCACCUUCGGUCUACAACAACAACGACGAGUUCGAUGCCACGGAAAACAACUACGACGCCAAGAUGCAAGCUCAAAUGGAGGAGAUCAAAGCCCUCAACAAGUCCUACAAGCGAUCUUCCUCAUCUUCGAGAAGACGCUCAAGAGCACAUGCUUCCGAGCUACCAUCUAUGGCAAGAUCACAUCGGCAUCGACACCAUCACCAACAAGAACGUGAAGGUCAAGAGCUCAACACCAACAACCGCUCAACGACUUCACCAUCUCCCUUGGCAUCUUCCCAAGCGACUUCAAGGCAUCUUCGCCUAUGGACAUACGGCAUCUUCGCCAACAAGAACCUCAAGACUACGCUCAAGAGAAGCUCCCCAAGCUCAAGUCCGCGACUUCCACGAGCUACUACGACCUCGACAUCGAGCACGCGAUUCCUUUCUAUGGGACUCAAGAACCCGAGGACUAUCUCGAGUGGGAGCGUUUGA